rnacentral:rRNA from 1 species
CCUACGGGAGGCAGCAGUGAGGAAUAUUGGGCAAUGGGCGCAAGCCUGACCCAGCAACGCCGCGUGAAGGAAGAAGGCUUUCGGGUUGUAAACUUCUUUUAAGAGGGAAGAGCAGAAGACGGUACCUCUUGAAUAAGCCACGGCUAACUACGUGCCAGCAGCCGCGGUAAUACGUAGGUGGCAAGCGUUGUCCGGAUUUACUGGGUGUAAAGGGCGUGCAGCCGGGAAGACAAGUCAGAUGUGAAAUCCCGGGGCUCAACCGCGGAACUGCAUUUGAAACUGUUUUUCUUGAGUACCGGAGAGGUCAUCGGAAUUCCUUGUGUAGCGGUGAAAUGCGUAGAUAUAAGGAAGAACACCAGUGGCGAAGGCGGAUGACUGGACGGCAACUGACGGUGAGGCGCGAAAGCGUGGGGAGCAAACAGGAUUAGAUACCCUUGUAGUC